GGUGCAAACUUAAGCCGUUUGCGUCGCACUGGAGACCAGUGAUGUUAAUGACUAUCGCGGGAAUAGCCGAUGGAGAACAUAGCAGCAACGCGCUUUUCCUCAGAGAAUUAACAAGAAUGAAUCUCCUCAUUGCUGACCGACACAAUCAACAAACGCCACAAACGUCGCCACGGUAAACCCGUAGCUUUUAUGUGGGGUGACGCCAAAGGACAUUGGUCAAAAGCAUAAGAUUCAGUGCAUCGGCCACCAUCAGCCUAUCCGAACAUCCGAACAGACCAAGAAAGUGAUGAUUGACGUUCCGCCACAAGAUGGCGACAGAGACUGCUUAAUAAGUUCUUAGGGGAGAAAAACAGCAUUUUCUCAGCUCAAGUUUCAAACAACAGCUAAACAAAUCAUUAUAAAUCAGGGCACUUAACAGGGAUAUAUGAACUACUCAGCCACGGCCACUAAAGCAGCAUUUUAAUCCCCGCUGUUCCAUCUGUUUACAUGAACAACUAUUCAUUCUGCAAAUUACACCUAGAGCAGGACAUACCAUAUGUAAGAUAAGAAUAGUGAAGCAAAAUACUUUCAUUAUUGAUUCACCACCAUAUUCUAAAGUUUCUUUUAGGUAACUAAGUAGAGUCCAAGUGAGCAAAUGAUCUUGAGGCGAUACCAUUACGUGCUUAAAAGGUCCUUUUUUCAGCUCUGUGGAUCAUUUCUGAGAAGUCUGAGUCAGCUAAAUGACAAUGAGGCAUUUAUAAUCUCAAAAUUAUUGACAAAAUACAUCUUUAGACUCCUUUUAAAGGUUUCACAAAGUGUUAAAGGACAUUUGCUGGAAAGAGUUUGAAUGUGGCGCAUUGAAUGUAUACAGUGCGGUUCAUUAGUGCCAGGUUUACUUGCAGCUGUAAUUGAAUUUAGGUUUGAAAUCUUUUUACACAGAAAUGUGCCUUCUUGCUAAAUUAUGUCUAUAAAGAGCUUUAUAUAAUUUUGAAUAAAGCGUGAUGAAUUCA
rnacentral:lncRNA from 1 species